GGGGGGGCGUGAAUAGUAAUGACCUUGGGAGGGGGCACUAACAAGGAAAGAGUUGUGUAGCACUCUCUGUCUCUCAAAGGGGUGGAAAAACCAUUGCAAGGGAGACAGCCUCCCGGGAGAAAAACCCGGCUCGGAGAGAACCAGGCUGAGCCUGGCGAGAUUUUCUGCGCGCAAAGAGAGGGUGGAGUGGAGGGAGCCAUCUCCUCUCCCACCGCUGGGGUGUGUUUUUACAUGUUUUCUCAGCAGCAAGUUCUAUAAACAGGUCAGCCCUAUGCUGCCAGGGAUCUCUGGCUGCCAGUGUAGACGCCUCUCUUCCCCCCUCUCCCUCUCUGCAAGUCAAACGCGCAGGAGAUGCGGGUGGGAGUCCGGGCCGGGGGAGGGGCACCACCUUCCACUUCUGACUUGGAGGGUAUAUCUGCUUUUGAAAUAGCUUCUCUUGUCUUCAGAGGGUAAAAUAUGAGUUCCCCGCAUGUCUGAGUCUGGUCUUCUGGUACCUCAAGCAAAAUUUGGGGAGGGAAGGGAAGGGAGGCUGUUCUAAUUACCUUUGAGCUGAGCGGGGGGUGGGGCGGGGGAUUCUGUCUUUUCAGUCCGGUCCUGCUGGGGUGCCCCUGAGUAUUAUUAAACCCAGACGCUCCGUCCAGAAGUUGGGGCCAUGCGGAAAAGAUUUACAAUUAAGCCAAUUGGGGCAGAAUACAACCAUCCAAAGUUUGCAGGUGUAAAUAAUGCCUUGCUUUUUUUGGCAUUCCAAGCGACUUCAUUUCAAAACCCACCCCCCUUCCACCCUACCCACCCAUGGCUGGACUCUAGUUCUUUUAGGGGAGAGGGGGAGAGAGAGUAGUAGAGUUAGGAUUUUUCUAUUAGACAAGUUAAAAUAUGAUGUUGCACUCACUUUUAUGUCCCUGUAUUAAUGUCGUGGAUAACCAGGACAGGCUCCUCUAUUUCAUUUCUCUGUCUAGAAUUGAGAACUGUUGGAGUCAAUGAAAGGCCUUUUGAGAGUGGGUUAUGAAUUCUUUCUUUUUUUUUAAGGAAUGGAACAGAUUUUUAUAUAACAGAUAUUAGAGUUGGACUAUUUUACAGAUUUUUUUUUUUUAGUUGUAGAAAUUUGAGUGAGAGAGGAUAAGAAAAAAAAAAGGAAAUUGCCUUUAGUUGGCAUAUCAGAAUACUGCCUGCCCCAAGCUGCAUCUGGGGAAGAGGUGGUCUUUCAGACAGCAGAGCCAGAUGCCUUCUAGAGCUUCAGUUUAGAUCUUCCUAAUAUUUGGAGAAGGAAAUGGCAACCCACUCCAGUACUCUUGCCUGGGAAAUCCCAUGAACAGAGGAGCCUGGUGGGGUAGAGUCCAUGGUGUCCAAAAGAGUUGGACAUGACUUAAGGACUAAACAACAGCGAUUGGAGAGCUAGUUAAAUGAUGUAUGGGCCCAACUUCAGGGCUACACUCCAUUGCAUUAUUUAAACAUAAUAGAACGUGUGUGUGUGCUUCUAGGACGUUCUGUGUGGGUACAAGUGUGUAUAUGUGGGUAGCCCCACAUAGGAAAUGUGUAGCCCCAGAUAGGAAAGGAAAUCUCAGUAUUUAAAGAUGCUUUGCAAUCCACCUCACAGGCAGACUCCCAUUUGAUCAAUAUAGACAGAGUUAAAUUUGUUUUGCUGCUACGCAGUUACUCCUUUUCUCUUGGAGCAAUAGUCUGUUACAAAUUACCAGGAAAUUGAAGAAUGUGUCCCCCACCCCAACUGUUGUUCAGUGUUUUCAGUCUUGCACUAACCCGCUCAAUAAUAUAUGUAAUGUGUGUAUACACAGGCACUUUUCCAAAAAAUUAGCGAUAACAUUCCAGCUGUAUGAAGAGUGAUGUUUUUUCUCCCUCUGCAAGUGGGACUCAGUCUGUGGCUGAGUUGCCACUCUGGAGACCUAUUCCCUGGGGACUGACACCCCCGAGGAUCUAGAAGUAGGAGGCUUUCCAGCCCUGGUUGCAUGCAAAGGCAGGGAAUCAAGGCGCCUGACUCCAGCCAGUAUAAGGUCAUAGGUGUAGAAUUAGGAAGGCAGGACUUAACAUGUCCGCAACAAAAAGAGAGAAAGCGUCAACUCAGCCUGGGGUGAAACCCCUGAGCCGGCACAGGAAAAGUUUCUAAGCAGUGGUGGAACAAAUACUAUUUUUCGCCUCCUCUUUCCUUUCUUUUGUUUUUGUUUUGUUUUGUUUUUCCCUCCUUGAAAGAACUUCCCUGUCCAGUGCAUAUGUUGGGCAUAAAUAAAGAGGGGCGGUGGGGGGGUGGUGAUUAUUAAACGCUGGGUGAACCCGAAUCAGCCUUAAGCAAUGGCGGGGGGGGGGGAGGUGUGAGGAGGGUAGAAGAUAGACAUGUCCUAAUUUGGAGUGAGAGGGGGUGGAUGGAGGAAGGGACCGACUCCAGCUUAGAAACCUCCUCGAUCCUUGCGGCUGGAGGGACUCGCCAGGAACCUCUGCCCAGGGUGCCCUUGCCGUCUCACCGCUGGAUGGCGCUGAGGGGAGACAGGCUGGCAGGCACUUGUCCUCCUGUGCCCCCGCAAGGCCUGAGCAAAUCUCCGCCAAUGCGUGGGGUUGGGACCGUGUUUUUGAGCCAGAGCAGUGGCAGUCCUGAUGCACCAGGAGGCGGGAGCUAUUUUUGGAGUCGGGGGUGGGAAAGGGUCACCCAGAGUCCCACCAGGUCUGGAAGCUGGACAAAGAGAGUAUGGGCAAGAAUGGGGGUGUGUGAAAAGAUGGUUCUCAGGGCAAACUAGUGCUUCAUUUCUUGGGUGUCACCUGUUUACCUAGAAAGGUGUGUGUGUAGAUGGGGGAAUGGACAGGAGGUCAGCUAGAUAGGUAUGGAGAUUUGCAAAGGGUACAGGCUUUGCAGAACCUCAUUGUCCAGUGUCACUUUUUGCAAAGGCCAAUCUAAUGGUCCCCCUCCCCCUGCCACAACCCCCUCUCCCCCCACCCAGGUAUGCUCUGUCUAAUUGGAGUGGCAGGCCUUCCCGGCUGGAACUGUAUCUGGGAUUGAGAAUCUCAGGGCUGGGGUGCACUCUGAUCUCAGGCUCCCUGGGGGCUGGCAUGUUGCCAGACUGACCUGAGUCCUCAUUUGGGAGUGUCUGUCUAAAGGCACUUAAGACCUCAGGCUGGCUGUUCCGCAGCCAAAGGAGGAACUGCGGGCUACAAUUUGGAGAAGAAAAAAUUCAUGUCGAACUUACUAAGCACUUACUAUGCACCAGGCACUGCGUUAGAUGCUGCGAUCUUGUCAAAAGUUACUUACAGAGCUAGAAAAAAAAAAAUACCUUAACCAAAGAAGUUAAUCACUCUGGGUGUGUGUUUGUGUGUGAGUCACUCAGCCGUGUCUGACUCUUUUCGACCCCCUUUUGUGCACGGAGUUCUCCAGGCAAGAAUACUGGAAUGGGUUGCCAUUCCCUUCUCCAGGGGAUCUUCCUGAUCCAGGGAUUGAACGUGGGUCUCCUGCAUUGCAUGCAGCUUCUUCACCCUCUGAGCCACCAGGGAAGCCCAAUCACUCUGGGUAAGAGUGUCUAAUAUCAGUUAUCCACCUUGAAAGCUCCUAGAGAGAUAAGACUCCUCACAUCUCUAGCUCUGUUUGGGAGGUGCUCAAUAAAUCAUCUUUCAAUACAGGGACAAAAAUGAAUGAAGGAAAGGAAAGAAGUCAAACUAAAGGUGAUUUUCUGUGCAUAUGAAAAAUAAGUGACCACUUCAAAGAGCACUUUAAAAAAAAGCAUCGAAUUUGUAAGCUGUUCCCCCAAACAGAUCCUGACAUGAGACAGUGAAAAGAUGGUAGUGGGAAGAGAAAUUGGGUGUAAUGGAUAGAAACACCCACUUGGUCAUUCCACAAAAUACUGACCGAGACUUCUCUGCCGAGCACCGGAGACACGGGUGAAAACAUGGGUCUUCACCAGCUUGAUGCUUAUGGUCCUGAGUUUUGGUCACUAUGGUUUAAAAAAAAAAAUUGAGAUCAUUCCCAUUUUAAAGAUCAGGAAAGUUGAGGCCGAGGAGAGAUGGUGUCGGGAGAGAACUCAAGGUCUUAAAGCAGGAAGGCUGAACUAAAGUUGGCCCUCAGCUCUUCUGUGCUCUAGGGAGGCAGAAGGCUGGGUGAUUUUUGCUCCUGGGGAGUGUGGGGGCCCUGGGAACCCCAGCGGUGCUGACAAGUCACCUUGGGCUGGCUUGGGGGGACGACAGAAGUUUACCCCCCUUAUGAGGUUGCAAAGACCACCCCAGCUCUGCUUGUCCCACCUUCAACCUUGGAACUAUGACGAGGGAUCUAACCUCCGAACCUCCCAUCCAUUGUUUUCCAUUUAGCGCGUUCACCUAGCCUAGGACGGAGCAGCUCUGCUGCUUUUUACAGACCAGAAUUUGUGGGACAGAAAGCUAGGGAGUCUCGUCCAAGGUCGCCUUGCUAAAGAAUGACAGUAAAGAAGACUUUACGACGACCCCUCCCUGCCAGGGUUUUAGGAGUCUGCCCAAACCCCUCUCCUCAUUGGUACCCCAAUGCCCUGUGCAGUCGGGGCACCUGCGGUGGGUUCAUCAAGUGUUGGUUGAUUGAAUAAACUUAAUUCUUAUUUGGUUCCUUUGUUUUACAAAUUGCACAAACAAAAAAAAUGGAUCAGUGAUCGAAUAAAAGGGAGUGGGUUGAGAAGCUCAUUCCCCUGACUGGCUGCCUGGUGGUGGGACAGCCUUGGGUCACCGGUGAGCCCUGGCAGCGGUAAGGCCACUUUCCACCAGCUUUACAAAGACGGUUGUGAUUUCCUUCGGUCUAUAUUUUCGUCCUAGACUUCGUUGGGGUGAUCGAUGGAGGAGACAAGCUGACCCACCGUGAGGUCAAUACAAUCGAUGCAGUCCUCCAUGGACGACCUCUUGGAAACCGCUCCAGUGGCUGCGUGCUGGGUUCCACCCAAAAGCUUUCAGGAUUUCAGAUUUCUUACUCCCGUGCUGAAGUUACCGCACUGGAAGGAGGAUGGGGGUAGGUGGGCAGGAAGAAGCCUCCAGCCUCACCUGAGGGAGUCUCUGGGAACUGCGGGUCGGGAGAAUCUCUGCUCCCAGGCAGCCGGCCACGCUCUCAGCAAAGUCUGGUAAAUUUCGUUCCGGAGCUUCCUGGCCUUGGAAUCAGACACCCUCCAACUUAUCCUGGCGGGUCGGCUGUCCUUAGCCCUCGGUUCCUCAUCUGCGAAAUGGGUUUGUUACGAAAUACUGUUUAUUGAAGAGAAUGUCUGUGAAAUCCCCUUGGAGGAUGAUUAUGUUCUAAGACCUUUCCCAUACUUUGGCUCACCGAAUACAACACUCCGAGGAGGCGGGUGUCUUUCACGGAUCUCUGUUUCCCAGAUGAGAAAAUGAGGCAUGCAGAAAGAUAGAGACUUGACCGAGCUCGGACAGCUGGUGAGCCCCUCCUGGAGCUGAGAUUCACCCUAGGGAGGGUCUAACUCCUCGUCUGGCUUUCAACAAGGUCACAGGUGCCGCCUGCGCGUGCACACACACAUACACACACACAGUAGGUACACAAGGGCGAUCUUUUUCUUUGCCCUUUAGGGAGCACACAUUCCAUGGAACCCUUUCCCAAGCACAUCUGUAAAUUGCUUUGAUCCGUAGGUCUCUUCCUUCUGGAAACAAAUGCAGUGGUGGGGGGGGGGGGGGAUGUUCGAGUCUGACAAAUCUUCUUAAACUCGGAAAUCCAGAGCUUUCAAGACAAUUUUUUUUUUUUUUGUACGAAGGAAGGAGGGGUACGUGUGUGUAUGUAGAAUCAAUAUGGGCCAGACAGCCUUCACAAAGGGACUCCAGGCGGGCGCCUCGGCCGCACGGCCCCCGCCCCACCGCCCGCGGCGAAUUAAUUGGGCCCUGAAAGAAGGGGCAACGUAGCUUCCAGUUAAUUAGUCAAGAAAUGAAUCAAGCCCCAGCGGCCUGGCAAAGGCCCCUGGGGCGCGGGUUUUGUGCAAGUCAAAUCGGUCGGUGGGGCGCUCCCCUUUGGGUCGGGUGGGGGCGCAGCGGGGAACUAGGCUUGGGCGCCUCUGGCUGCCCCGCGCCCGGCGCCUUGUACCCCGCGCCCCAGAGCAGGCUCCCGCGCCCCCUCGGGCUCUCGCUUUCAUCAUCUAUUUCCUUUUUCCUGACUCCCUCCGUCCGCCUCUCCUUUUCCUUUUCGUCUUUGCCGUAGCCCCUUCUCCCAGAACUUUGCUCGCGGUUUUCCAUCCCGUCUCCCAGCUGCGUCUGGCUCCAAACUCUCCGUUUUGGGGCAUCUUCCUCUAAAGCCCCUGCCUCCGCCUAGCACAUCUGGGGCUGGGUGGUCAGGGAAUGGCGCCUGGGAUGUGGAGAAACCCGAACUUAGGGGACACAGGGUGGAAAUGAGCCCUGGCUUUGGAGCUCUUUGAGGCCUGCUGUGUGUUCCUAGGUACACAUUCUUCAUCCUUCAACCUAGGAUCCAGGUUCCUGGCUCUGGUUAGGAGAACCCUCUGAGAUAAUGCAGGGCUUUGAAAGGGUUCUAUAACUCAUGACCCAUGUCCCCAGGCGAUGAGGACUUAGAAUUGAGGCACACCUGCCACAUAUAAGCAACUGUUGAGCGCCAGCGGUGUGUUUUCCUUACUUUGUUCCUCCACUCCUCCUCCAGACACUCUGGGUAACCCAGGCAGCCAAGAUCCCCGGUGUUUUCCAUCAAAGCAGCUCUGCUGGAGAGGAGGGAGGGGAGACACAAAUCGUUAAACUCAGUUAUUUCAAGGUCUUUUUGUGCCAUGUACCAGCGGUCUCUCCUGAACUAAAGGGACGGAACUGGGGGCUCAGAGAUGUGGACUGAUCCUCCUGGAGUCACACAGCAAAGGGGAGGCAAGGCUGAGACUUUCACCUUCAAACAGGCGUUCGGUGCCUUGACACGGUGCUGCCCUUUGAGCCCGCGAAGAGCUCAGGGAUCCUCAGAGGUCCUGCUGGCCUGACCUGGGCUCCGAACAUUUAUGUACAGGAAGAGGUUCGCUAGAAUCACCUUGCCUCCUCCAGCUUGGAGCUAAGGCCCGAAUCUCUCUCCAAUUCUGCAUUUCUUUCCCGUCUGUCUUUGUCUUUCGAGCUCAGUCUCUACUUUAGUCUCCCACCCACCAGUCUUUCUCUCUCCCCCUCGACCUGCCUUCGAAUGCACAGGGCUGAGGUCAGAAUCUCUCCCACUUUCUUCCAAAUUAUCUAGGUAGUUGCUCACAUCUCGCGGCUUGGAGCGGGGUUGACACCCAUCUGCCGCCAACCGCCAGGAUGGGAGCCACAGACGCAGACUCGCAGACUCGAUUCAAUUCCAUGCCCUCGCGUCUCUGCCGCCCGCCCCCCAUCCCCAGGCCCUCCCCAAGCCGCAUCCACCCGGUCCUAGGAGAGACCCCAGCGGAUGAUUCGAUGAACGCCUCAGUUCCACACAGGAGCCCCGAACCGCGUUUUUUCUUUCUUCCUUUGCUUGCUAUUGACCGACUUUGGCUUCGCUCAAGGCCCCGAGGUGCCUGCGCCGCGCUUGGCUUUGCUUCCUGCCUCUCGAGGCAAGCCGGGGAUUGCGGUUUCCUCUCGCCAAGUCCCUGCCAGGCGCGCACGCAGGGGCUUGGCGAGCUUGGCGCGCGCGUUUGGCGCACACUGCUUUGGGCCUCAGUUUCCCCGCCCCUUUCGGAUCAUACAAGCGCAAGACAAAACGGCUGGGACUGGAAGCAUGGCCAGCGGAUUGGGUGGUGGCGGGCACCGCAGUUUCUGUGUGGAGUGGAGUUAAGCCUGGAAUCACGGCCGCCGCGCCUUUCCUGUUCCUCCUCUCCGCGGACUAUUACCCACCUCCACGACCCCAGUCUCCCUCAAGUAUCACCAGCAGUCUGGUGGAGCUCGGUUGGCGGCGUAGGGAUGCUGGCUACCUCAAGGCGAGGGCGAGCCAGCAGGUGCGGGCAGGGCUGGUUCCCUGCAGUUGCCGGCUCUACAGCCAUUACUGGUGGCCUUGGGUACAUAGGCGGCCUCGGACAAGCCUCGUUCCAUCAAAGUGUUGGCACACACCUCCUACUGAGCUUUAACAGGGGGCCUGUUAGAGCCUUGGAACUUUGGAAGAGUCCCCUAGCUCUUCUGAGCCUCAGUUGCCUCCUCUGAAAAAUGGGGAGGAUAGGUCCUGCUGCGGAGGACGAAGGCAAGGAGUAAAUGAGACCUCUUGUGUACAUCACUCAGUCUAACCCCUGGCACAUAGUAAGUGCUCAUUAAGCAUUAGCUGUUUGGGCACCCUAAUCUCUCUGUCUCUAUGUAUCAUAUAGCUAUUUUGAUAAAAUAGAUACACUUAGUAUCUACUUAGUAUAUAUGCAUUUACUAAAUGUAUAGACUCAGUGCAUACUUAGCAUAUAACGUGGGUGUGUGCUCAGUCACUUCAGUCCUGUCCGGCUCUUUGCCACUCCAUGGAGUGUAGCCUGUCAGGCUCCUCUGUCCUUGGGAUUUUUCCUGCAAGGGUACUGGAGUGGAUUGCCAUGCCCUCCUCCUCAGAAUCUUCCCAACCCACGGAUCGAACCCCUGUCUCCUGCGUUGCAGGCAGAUUCUUUAUUACUGAGCCACCAGGGAAGCCCAGUAUAUCACAUAUACACUAAAAAUACAUGCUAUGUAUGUUUAGAGUAUCUUUAAGACAUAUUCUUCUUUUCUUAGACCACUACCUCUAGGGUAUAUUAGGCCCUUUCUCUAUUAGCAUUGCUUUACCCAGUUCUUUAAAAAAAAAUUUUUUUUUUUUGGCUACAUGACAUGGCAUGCAUAACCUUAGUUCCUCCAUCAGGGGUCCAAUCUGUGCUCCCUGCUUUGGGAGUGUGGAGUCUUAACCACUGGACUGCCAGGGAAGUCCCUCUUACCUAGUUCUGUUUACCUCUCAGCCUGAAGCCCCAUUCCUUGUCCUCUCCCAAGUUGAUCCUGUAGUGAUCAAGCCUCCCACUCUAGGCUUCAUGCCACUGCAGGCUACUUUCUGGAAUCCCAGGAUCUCAGAACUGCAAGUGACCCCAGAAAGUGUGCUCCCUUCUUGUCCUUGCAUGGGAGUUCAGGCCCCAGAGGGGUUUGGAGACCAGGUUCCAAUGCCUUUUCAGCCCUGACCAUCUCCAUCUCCUGACAGGAGAAAAAAGUGUCUCUAUCUAUCUCUUGGGAUCUAUUGAGGGAAAAGCACUUGUGGAAAAUAAAAGAAUAUGGUUGGGUGCCUGGAGCAUCCUUGGGCAGAGCCCCCAGAGCCAAGAGCUCUGUAAAUGAGGAGACGCCUAUGUGUGACCUGGGAUGGAAGGGGUGCUGGGCCCUUGGGAGGGUUCCUUGAUGCCUCCUGGCUCUCAGCACAGCUGUGUGUGGCUGACUCUACUCUCAGGCCCAGACUGCAGCUGCCCGAUUGCUGGUCAUCAGCAGGAGACCACAGUCCCCUUCCUCGGUCCUCUAGGACAUACUGAGACCACUUCUUUUCAGCCUGAGAGUGAAUGGUGUAGUGGGGAAGAGAGAGAUGAGAAAGGAGAAAUGGCAAGAUGGAAAAGGAGGAUGACUGGGAGUGUGGGGAGAAGUGAGUGAGAGCAAGAGAGAGAAGGGACGCUUGGGGAGCAGGGAGGAAGGAGAAAACAGAGAGAGACAGUCACCUACCCUGAGAUGGACAGAAACCCUUCAUACCUGGAGAGACUGGGAGAGGCAGAGAGAGAGAGAGAAACUCAAGAGACAAAGAGAGAAGCAACUAAGAGGCGCAGAGAGGGGAAAAAAGAAGGAAGGAGCUUGGAAAGGAGUGUCCCAAAAGAGACAGAAGCAAGCUGGUAGGGAAAUGACAGCCCAGGGAGGCCUCAGGCAGCCCAGCCACACCCCCCGGCCCGCCCUCCCGACAUGUUACUUAACUUGCCAGGAGAUUAUCUAGUACAGUAUAAAUGCCUCCAUUAAAUCAUGAUUGAACUCCUCCAACGGAACAAUUCCCCAAGUAGCCUCCAGCCCUAGGGGAAUAUGGUUUUCAAAACCCCUCGAAGCAUCAGAUACCAGCAAUUUAGGAGAUAAAUUAUCAUUCACUAGGGGUUUCCAGGGGCCCCCUUACAAGGCCUUUGGGGUGGGGGUGGGGGAGUGUGUGGCUAAGAGCCUCCGUCCGUGCAGGAAAAGACGCCGCAUUUCUCUCUUGGCCAUCGGAUUUGCCUGGAAGCCUCUCUCCUCCCCCAGUGCACAGCCACCCAAACCCACAAGGAAGGUUGGGCCCGUAGGGUCCAAAGUUGGCCAAGAAGACGAAACAUUCUGCCGGAGUCCUCCAGAUUCCCAGAGUGCAUUGGGCGAGAUGGAGAGGGGCUGUGCACGCAGUUUCUUAGCUGCUCCCUCUGGAGAGGGAUGGAUGGAGUGGUGAUGGAGAAUGUCCCCAGCGACACCUGGGAAAGCAGACUUUCAUUCAGCCAGGUGGGGGGAGGGGGGAGCGGUGAGAGACAAGGAGAAGGGUUAGAUACUGGAGAAAAGCCUGGUUUUUAAGGCAAAGUCUCCCUACUUCCCCGUCUCAUCACUCCAACUAGUUGAUCAAAUAAAGUAGGGCUCAUCUUCCCUCUCACCCCGUGGGUCUUCCUCAUUGGUCUCCCAGUGUGCUGAUGAAGGUAUUUUCAAAGGUAGCAAAUAAAAAGAUUUCCUUUUUAUUCCUCUUCCUCCCAGUGCUUCCACCUCCUCUCCUUGCAAGGCUUGUUUGUUUUGCUUUAACAAACACCUUAUAGAGUUUGCUUUAAAGGAGCACUUAAAAAAAAAAAUUGUACCCCUAGGGCAGGCCAAGUGUUAACUGCUUGUGUGUGUGUGACUGUGUGUGUGUGUGUGUUUAGGCCUCCUGAGUGGGCUUGUAGUUAUAAAGGGGACCUGUUUCAGGUGCAGAAAGCUGGGAGAGGGGAGUGGCAAGGAAUGCCUGGACAGAUUUACACCUGUCCUUACAGCUGCCAUCGACAACACUUACAGCCUCCAGAAAUGACCCUUGGUGCCGACUUGUCUGGAAGCCAUCAGGGUUAGUUUUGAAGCAGGAGUCUUCAAGUGGACCAGAGGGUAAAGCUCUGCCCAGCCCCUCCCAGCCCGUCUUCUCUGUUGCUGUCCUCAAGUGCUGCCCCUUCCCCUCCUGCCCACCAGCCCCCUCACCCCGCCCCCGCUUUCUCUGUUUCCUCUGUCAGACACAUAUCAUCAUUUGACUUUCUGAUCCCUUGGUGCUACCGUCUAACGAAGGCGAGGCAGGGUGCAGAGCUUGCAGCCAGCUCAUCGUGGCCAGCCCCCUGCAUCCCGACAAGGAGCUGGGUCUGGCCCCAGGAAUCUGCGCAGGGGGGUGGGGUGGGGAUUCCUGACUCUACCUUCCAGCCAGUUUCUGCCCCCUGCCACCAGCCCCACCCCAGCCCACCGGCCAGACAGUUUGAGCGACUGACUGAUAAUAUCCAGACGCCUCUGGAAUCCCGCUUGCAGUCCUCCCAGCGCUGCUCGGCCUGGUCUGCAGAAGUGGGGGCAGUGGGCAGCAGGCAUUCAGCUGUGACACUUGUUGCCACCUCUCAGAGGCCGCUGAAAGGCCCACUCAGCCGGGCCCUUCAGGACGGGGGACCCUGGAGCCAGGGCACUCAGGAGACAUGUUUGACACCCACGCUGGGAACUUUGAGUCCAGUCCCUGACUUUCUCCGGCUGGCCCUGGCCCUGAAGAGGUCUAGGAGGCCGAGAGGGGGGCAGAUCACAGGCCAUCGGGGUGGGGGGCAGGCAGCGCUGGGUUGAGGGGUGGGGAAGUCCAGCACUUUGCCUGAGAAGUAGCAGGCACUGGGCAAGUACCCAGCCUUGAGUCCCUCACUGGCAAAAUUGGGAGGGGUGGAGGAGGGAGAUGUGAGAGCAUCUUCAUGUUUAUACAUCUUGGUCUCACUUUCACAAUGAUUUCCUUAACAUAUAUUUCAGGCAUCUUCUCACUUUUUUUUUUUUUUUUUUUUUUUUUGGGCCAUGCUGUGUGGCUGGUGAAAUCUCAGUUCCCCAACCAAGGAUUGAUCCCAAACCCUCUGCCGUGAAAGCUUAGAGUCUGAAACCACCCAACCACCAGGGAAAUCUCCAUCUGCUGACUCUUUUGAAACACCUAACUUGCCGAAAUUGAAACCUUUAUCUGGGUACCGUAAAUCAAACUCAAGUCUCACUUCCCAGAAGUAGAAUGAAAGUGGCGAGUUGUGGAAAGAAAACAAUAUGACAAGGCUCCAAGCAGGGCUAAUUGUUAGAAGGGUGAUCGAGACAGGCUGCCUCAGACACAUUCCCGGGAAGACAGAAGAAAGGAAGAAACAGGAAGGUCAUGGAGGAGUGGCAGAAGACCAAUGAGUAAACUUGACCCUGUGAAUCCUCGGCUCUGUUUUCUAAGACUGGGGAAACUGAGGCCCAGACAAGACAAGUAAUUGUCCAAGGUCACAGAGGAAAAAAAAAAUCCCAAUGGCUACAUGACUUGGCUCAUCAGCACCUGUUCUUCUCUUGGGAUCAUAUGGCAAGUCACUUUGGUGGUCUGGGCCUCAGUUUACUUAUCUGUAAAAUGGAGCCAAAUAGAUUAAUCACCUGCAGUUGAUCAACAAGAAAGACAAGAUCCCUCAGGAGAGAUAAUUUAUCCUAAUACUUGGCACAGAAUUGAUAAGCAAUAAAUAUUAGAUUUCUUCACUCUUU